rnacentral:rRNA from 1 species
UACGAAGGGUGCAAGCGUUACUCGGAAUUACUGGGCGUAAAGCGUGAGUAGGUGGUUUCUUAAGUCUGCUGUGAAAGCCCCGGGCUCAACCUGGGAAUUGCAGUGGAUACUGGGAAGCUAGGGUGCGGUAGAGGGUAGUGGAAUUCCCGGUGUAGCGGUGAAAUGCGUAGAGAUCGGGAGGAACACCAGUGGCGAAGGCGGCUACCUGGACCAGCACUGACACUGAGUCACGAAAGCGUGGGGAGCAAACAGG